rnacentral:tRNA from 1 species
GGUAUUGUGGCUGAGUAGGCGGCGAGUUGUAGCCUCGUUUACCGGGGGAACCCCCGCGGUACCAAGUC